ACACAAGGAAGGAGGUGGUUCGAAGAAUGUAUGUUCAUAGGACUCGUGAGGUGGCUGUCCGCUAGCGCCACCGCUGCAACGGUCUCCGUUCGCGCGAGCGCUGAGCGAAUACCAGGCAGCCACCCGGCCCCCGAGCCCCCGGUCUUGUCCGAUCGGGAUCGCGCAGGUGUUUACACCCGCGAUAUGGCUCGGGGGUCGUUCCUG
rnacentral:sRNA from 1 species